rnacentral:lncRNA from 1 species
GAGUAUGGAGGAAGUAUUAUGUUCAAAUAUGCCAUACAAACAAAUAUAGCCACUUGCAAUGCUAUCCAAAUUAAAUACUAGCAUAAAAAUAAAAAAAAUACUACUUCAAUAUUCAUAUGAUAUAAAAAAUACAUAAUAGACUUGCAUAUGAAAAGAUAUAUAUUCAUAUGGCGCGUGAUAAACAUGAGAGGCCAGUGCAAGACGAGGAUCCGAGCUGCACAAAAUUGGCCAAAACACACGGGGGGAAAACUAUGAGCUCUCAAUCUAGGUUUUAGGCCAGUCUUAGUGGCCCGUUUCAAUGCACUGUUUCCAAAACAAAUCCGCUGACAGGGCAUUAAUGAAACGUAUAAUGAAACAACCUCCACAAUGCAUGAGUUUCACCUUGACGUUUCCUAGGUUGGGCAAAGCAUUUAAUUACU